UUGGAAUAAUAGUAUUAAUGAAAUUUAACGGAUUUGGCGGCAAGAUAGCCCCUUAGAGGAACCUGCCCUGUAAACGAUGAACCACGAGGGACGUAACUUUCUUUGGUAAUCAGUUUGUAUACCGCUGUUGUCAGUUAGAUUCUUGAGAAUAUUUUCGUUUAUGAUAAUUUCAUUGACUUCAAGUAAAGGUGCAGCUUAUAUGAAAGGUAGAGGUGGGUUACAUUUAUAAGAAUAAAACGGAUAAGAUAAAUGAAAGGAUCUUUGAAGGUGGAUUUAACUGUAAAACUUAAGUAGGUUUGGUGAGAGCUC
rnacentral:rRNA from 1 species